GGUUAAGCGACUAAGCGUACACGGUGGAUGCCCUGGCAGUCAGAGGCGAUGAAGGACGUGCUAAUCUGCGAUAAGCGUCGGUGAGGUGAUAUGAACCGUUAUAACCGGCGAUUUCCGAAUGGGGAAACCCAGUGUGUUUCGACACACUAUCAUUAACUGAAUCCAUAGGUUAAUGAGGCGAACCGGGGGAACUGAAACAUCUAAGUACCCCGAGGAAAAGAAAUCAACCGAGAUUCCCCCAGUAGCGGCGAGCGAACGGGGAGCAGCCCAGAGCCUGAAUCAGUGUGUGUGUUAGUGGAAGCGUCUGGAAAGGCGCGCGAUACAGGGUGACAGCCCCGUACACAAAAAUGCACAUGCUGUGAGCUCGAUGAGUAGGGCGGGACACGUGGUAUCCUGUCUGAAUAUGGGGGGACCAUCCUCCAAGGCUAAAUACUCCUGACUGACCGAUAGUGAACCAGUACCGUGAGGGAAAGGCGAAAAGAACCCCGGCGAGGGGAGUGAAAAAGAACCUGAAACCGUGUACGUACAAGCAGUGGGAGCACAGAGCAAUCUGUGUGACUGCGUACCUUUUGUAUAAUGGGUCAGCGACUUAUAUUCUGUAGCAAGGUUAACCGAAUAGGGGAGCCGAAGGGAAACCGAGUCUUAACUGGGCGUUAAGUUGCAGGGUAUAGACCCGAAACCCGGUGAUCUAGCCAUGGGCAGGUUGAAGGUUGGGUAACACUAACUGGAGGACCGAACCGACUAAUGUUGAAAAAUUAGCGGAUGACUUGUGGCUGGGGGUGAAAGGCCAAUCAAACCGGGAGAUAGCUGGUUCUCCCCGAAAGCUAUUUAGGUAGCGCCUCGUGAAUUCAUCUCCGGGGGUAGAGCACUGUUUCGGCAAGGGGGUCAUCCCGACUUACCAACCCGAUGCAAACUGCGAAUACCGGAGAAUGUUAUCACGGGAGACACACGGCGGGUGCUAACGUCCGUCGUGAAGAGGGAAACAACCCAGACCGCCAGCUAAGGUCCCAAAGUCAUGGUUAAGUGGGAAACGAUGUGGGAAGGCCCAGACAGCCAGGAUGUUGGCUUAGAAGCAGCCAUCAUUUAAAGAAAGCGUAAUAGCUCACUGGUCGAGUCGGCCUGCGCGGAAGAUGUAACGGGGCUAAACCAUGCACCGAAGCUGCGGCAGCGACGCUUAUGCGUUGUUGGGUAGGGGAGCGUUCUGUAAGCCUGCGAAGGUGUGCUGUGAGGCAUGCUGGAGGUAUCAGAAGUGCGAAUGCUGACAUAAGUAACGAUAAAGCGGGUGAAAAGCCCGCUCGCCGGAAGACCAAGGGUUCCUGUCCAACGUUAAUCGGGGCAGGGUGAGUCGACCCCUAAGGCGAGGCCGAAAGGCGUAGUCGAUGGGAAACAGGUUAAUAUUCCUGUACUUGGUGUUACUGCGAAGGGGGGACGGAGAAGGCUAUGUUGGCCGGGCGACGGUUGUCCCGGUUUAAGCGUGUAGGCUGGUUUUCCAGGCAAAUCCGGAAAAUCAAGGCUGAGGCGUGAUGACGAGGCACUACGGUGCUGAAGCAACAAAUGCCCUGCUUCCAGGAAAAGCCUCUAAGCAUCAGGUAACAUCAAAUCGUACCCCAAACCGACACAGGUGGUCAGGUAGAGAAUACCAAGGCGCUUGAGAGAACUCGGGUGAAGGAACUAGGCAAAAUGGUGCCGUAACUUCGGGAGAAGGCACGCUGAUAUGUAGGUGAAGUCCCUCGCGGAUGGAGCUGAAAUCAGUCGAAGAUACCAGCUGGCUGCAACUGUUUAUUAAAAACACAGCACUGUGCAAACACGAAAGUGGACGUAUACGGUGUGACGCCUGCCCGGUGCCGGAAGGUUAAUUGAUGGGGUUAGCGGUAACGCGAAGCUCUUGAUCGAAGCCCCGGUAAACGGCGGCCGUAACUAUAACGGUCCUAAGGUAGCGAAAUUCCUUGUCGGGUAAGUUCCGACCUGCACGAAUGGCGUAAUGAUGGCCAGGCUGUCUCCACCCGAGACUCAGUGAAAUUGAACUCGCUGUGAAGAUGCAGUGUACCCGCGGCAAGACGGAAAGACCCCGUGAACCUUUACUAUAGCUUGACACUGAACAUUGAGCCUUGAUGUGUAGGAUAGGUGGGAGGCUUUGAAGUGUGGACGCCAGUCUGCAUGGAGCCGGCCUUGAAAUACCACCCUUUAAUGUUUGAUGUUCUAACGUUGGCCCCUGAUCGGGGUUGCGGACAGUGUCUGGUGGGUAGUUUGACUGGGGCGGUCUCCUCCUAAAGAGUAACGGAGGAGCACGAAGGUUGGCUAAUCCUGGUCGGACAUCAGGAGGUUAGUGCAAUGGCAUAAGCCAGCUUGACUGCGAGCGUGACGGCGCGAGCAGGUGCGAAAGCAGGUCAUAGUGAUCCGGUGGUUCUGAAUGGAAGGGCCAUCGCUCAACGGAUAAAAGGUACUCCGGGGAUAACAGGCUGAUACCGCCCAAGAGUUCAUAUCGACGGCGGUGUUUGGCACCUCGAUGUCGGCUCAUCACAUCCUGGGGCUGAAGUAGGUCCCAAGGGUAUGGCUGUUCGCCAUUUAAAGUGGUACGCGAGCUGGGUUUAGAACGUCGUGAGACAGUUCGGUCCCUAUCUGCCGUGGGCGCUGGAGAACUGAGGGGGGCUGCUCCUAGUACGAGAGGACCGGAGUGGACGCAUCACUGGUGUUCGGGUUGUCAUGCCAAUGGCACUGCCCGGUAGCUAAAUGCGGAAGAGAUAAGUGCUGAAAGCAUCUAAGCACGAAACUUGCCCCGAGAUGAGUUCUCCCUGACUCCUUGAGAGUCCUGAAGGAACGUUGAAGACGACGACGUUGAUAGGCCGGGUGUGUAAGCGCAGCGAUGCGUUGAGCUAACCGGUACUAAUGAACCGUGAGGCUUAACCUU
rnacentral:rRNA from 1 species